rnacentral:rRNA from 1 species
AGCUAGUUGGUGGGGUAAAAGCUUACCAAGGCAUCGAUCAGUAGCUGGUCUGAGAGGAUGAGCAGCCACACUGGGACUGAGACACGGCCCAGACUCCUACGGGAGGCAGCAGUGGGGAAUUUUCCGCAAUGGGCGAAAGCCUGACGGAGCAAUACCGCGUGAGGGAGGAAGGCCUUUGGGUUGUAAACCUCUUUUCUCAGGGAAGAAGAUCUGACGGUACCUGAGGAAUAAGCAUCGGCUAACUCCGUGCCAGCAGCCGCGGUAAUACGGAGGAUGCAAGCGUUAUCCGGAAUCAUUGGGCGUAAAGCGUCCGCAGGUGGUUUUUCAAGUCUGCUGUUAAAGACUGGAGCUCAACUCCGGAAAGGCAGUGGAAACUGAGAAACUAGAGUUCGGUAGGGGUAGCGGGAAUUCCCAGUGUAGCGGUGAAAUGCGUAGAUAUUGGGAAGAACAUCGGUGGCGAAGGCGCGCUACUGGACCGAAACUGACACUCAGGGACGAAAGCUAGGGUAGCGAAAGGGAUUAGAUACCCCUGUAGUCCUAGCUGUAAACGAUGGAAACUAGGUGUGGCUUGUAUCGACCCGAGCCGUGCCGUAGCUAACGCGUUAAGUUUCCCGCCUGGGGAGUACGCACGCAAGUGUGAAACUCAAAGGAAUUGACGGGGGCCCGCACAAGCGGUGGAGUAUGUGGUUUAAUUCGAUGCAACGCGAAGAACCUUACCAGGGCUUGACAUGUCGCGAAUCUUGGUGAAAGCUGAGAGUGCCUUCGGGAGCGCGAACACAGGUGGUGCAUGGCUGUCGUCAACUCGUGUCGUGAGAUGUUGGGUUAAGUCCCGCAACGAGCGCAACCCUCGUCUUUAGUUGCCAGCAUUAAGUUGGGCACUUUAGAGAGACUGCCGGUGACAAACCGGCGGAAGGUGGGGAUGACGUCAAGUCAGCAUGCCCCUUACGCCCUGGGCUACACACGUACUACAAUGGUUGGGACAAAGGGCAGCAAACCCGCGAGGGUAAGCGAAUCUCAUCAAACCCAGCCUCAGUUCAGAUUGCAGGCUGCAACUCGCCUGCAUGAAGGAGGAAUCGCUAGUAAUCGCAGGUCAGCAUACUGCGGUGAAUUCGUUCCCGGGCCUUGUACACACCGCCCGUCACACCAUGGAGGCUGGUCACGCCCGAAGUAGUUACCCUAACCUUUCGGGGGGGGACUCCUAAGGCAGGGCUAGUGACUGGGGUGAAGUCGUAACAAGGUAGCCGUACCGGAAGGUGUGGCUG